AUCCCAGAAUUGCGCCUUUUCCAGUCAUUGCAGGAUCACUUUCAACAGAUUAUUUACAAGAUAGCUUUCCAAAAAAGACAAACAAAGGCACUUUUAAGAGCCAUUCUCUCUCUCGCUCUCUCUCUCACACUUUCUCUCUCUUUCUCACACUCACAGACACACACACACACACACACACACACACACACACACACACACACACACACACACACACACACACACACACACACACACCUGUAUUUUAUCUGUAUUGUGUGUCAAUUGUCCAGCGAUGUUCAAAAACCAGAAGGUUUGUUCUGAUGCCGUUGAGAUCAGGGACCAUAUGGCUUCUGAAAUCAGUAAUGCGCUACUCCUUGAGGCCCGGGCAGCAAUGGGAGACUCCCACUUUCCUCCAAAAAAGAAGAGGAGAAAGAAGAGUGCAGUCAAAAAAAAGAAAGUGGUCACGAGCCGACUUCAGAAACGUCAGAAAUCACCCAGACGUGCAUCAGAUUCCGUGAACCCAGUGAGUGAGGAAGUCCAGCUCGAAGGAAUUGAAUCGACUGCAAGUCUUGGUGAGUAUGCCUGCAUAUUCUGUAUGACUACAUUUCCCAUUCCUCCAUAUCCACAACUUCAUAUCCACAACUUUCUCAAUGAUCUCUCUGACUCUGACCAUUCAACCCGGUAUCACGCAAUUGCGUGCUCCUGCGCACGAACGUUAAUCUAUUGAAGCGUGUUCCCGAGC
rnacentral:lncRNA from 1 species